CUUGGUGAUUCUAGCGAAGGGGGUACACCCGUUCCCAUUCCGAAUACGGAAGUUAAGCCCUUCAGCGCCGAUGGUAGUUGGGUUUUUACCCUGCGAGAGUAGGUCAUCGCCAAGA
rnacentral:rRNA from 2 species